GGCGGUUCUCAGGUGAUGCAUCUCAGGAAUCAGGUUCCCUCCUCUCUAGCUCCGGGUGCAUCACCAAGAACUGCA
rfam:Myotis davidii contig207120, whole genome shotgun sequence.